rnacentral:rRNA from 1 species
UACGGAGGAUCCGAGCGUUAUCCGGAAUUAUUGGGUUUAAAGGGUGCGUAGGCGGCCAUUUAAGUCAGCGGUGAAAUUUUGCAGCUUAACUGUAACAGUGCCGUUGAUACUGUUUGGCUAGGAUUUGGUUGUAGUGUGCGGAAUGUGUGGUGUAGCGGUGAAAUGCUUAGAUAUCACACAGAAUACCGAUUGCGAAGGCAGCACACUAAGUCAUUAUUGACGCUGAGGCACGAAAGUGUGGGGAUCAAACAGGAUUAGAUA